rnacentral:rRNA from 1 species
UCCCUUAGUAACUGCGAGUGAAGUGGGAAAAGCUCAAAUUUGAAAUCUGGCGGCUCUUUACCGUCCGAGUUGUAAUCUAGAGAAGUGCUACCUGUGCUGGACCGUGUACAAGUCUCCUGGAAUGGAGCAUCACAGAGGGUGAGAAUCCCGUCUUUGACACGGACUGCCUGUGCGGUUAUGGUGUGCUCUCAAAGAGUCGAGUUGUUUGGGAAUGCAGCUCAAAAUGGGUGGUAAAUGCCAUCUAAAGCUAAAUAUUGGCAAGAGACCGAUAGCGAACAAGUACCGUGAGGGAAAGAUGAAAAGAACUUUGGAAAGAGAGUUAAACAGUACGUGAAAUUGCUGAAAGGGAAACGCUUGAAGUCAGUCGCAUUGGCUAGAAAUCAACCUUGCUUUUGCUUGGUGUACUUUCUGGUUGAUGGGUCAGCAUCAAUUUUGACCACUGGAUAAAGUCUUUGGGAAUGUGGCAUCUUUUGAUGUGUUAUAGCCCAUCGUCGCAUACAAGUGGUUGGGAUUGAGGAACUCAGCAUGCUGCAAAGGCCGGGUUUUGAACCACAUUCAUGCUUANGAUGCUGGCAUAAUGGCUUUAAUCGACCCGUCUUGAAACACGGA